rnacentral:lncRNA from 10 species
GAGCCUACCUCCUCGGGGGACCCAGACUUAUUUACACAAGUAAAUAAAAUAUUGUGUUAAUUGCAGAUGGCGCUGACUGCUUUGAUGAAAAUAGAACUGAGCAAUGCAUAUGGAGGGGUGACAGGAGACCAGAGGGGUGUCAAGGGCCUCUCCUGAGCUGAGAGUGGGAUGAGGAUAAGAAGCCAGCCAGGCCCUCAGCCUAGCGGUGCAGAGAGGACAUGGAUCUUCCCGAGAUGCCCACAGUCUAUGAGAGAGAAAGACCAAGAAACCGCUGGAGGACUGGACUAAAUGAAGAUCAAGUCUGAAAGUCAUUCACUUUGUCAUCUGUUGGCUCUACCUUUGACUCAAGUGCCAGCCUCUUCAUCUCUCUCCUGGAUUCCUAUAAUACCUUCUCAGCUUCGGCUGUCAUUUCCCCUCCACACACAGCCAGCAUGAGUGACUGCAAAAUCAAAGUCCUGAGCUGGUCUCCCCACUCACUCAAAGGCCCUGUAGGACAGUGUCCCUCUGUGAUGGCAUAGCCACGCUGGCCUCUUGGCUGUUCCUCAGAUAUCCCAUGCUGCUGCCACCUUGAGCACUUGCUGGUUUAUCUGCCUGAUUCAAUGCUCUUCUCCCGACAUUUAUCCACAUGGACCCAUCUGCAAAGUUCUCAAGUUUCUGCUCAGAGUCACCUCAUCAGGUUGGUGACAACCUUAUUUAAAAUAGCUCUUCUUCUCCAUAUCUCCUUGCCUGACUUCAUUUUUAUCAUAGCAAUUGUAUUGAUUUGUUUUGUUGUUUAUUGUGUGUCUCCCUAUUCUAGAAUGUAAGCUCCUUGAGGACAGGGACUUGUCUGCUUGACUUGUUUCUAUCAGGGUGUCAGGACAGGGCAUAUGGUAGGUGCUUAAUAAAUAUGUGUGGGUGAAUGGACAAUGAUUCAUGGAUGAUAUCCAGAGGGUAAUGGUGAUUGCCAGUCAUGGGCAUAUGGCAUUUUGUUUUACAAUAUUUUUAUACAUAUGGGAUAUUAUUAUUAUUAUUUUUGAGACAGAGUUUCGCUCUGUCACCCAGGCCAGAGUGCAGUGGCAUGAUCUUGGCUGACUGCAGCUUUGACUUUCCAGUCUCACACAAUCCUCCCACCUCAGCCUCCCAAGUAGCUGGGACUACAUGCAUGCACCACCAUGCCUGGCUAAUUUUUUAAAUUUUUGGUAGGGCUAGGGCUUCACUAGGUUUCUCAGGCAGGUCUCAAACUCCUAGGCUCAAGUGACCUUCCUACCUAAGCCUCCCAAAGUGCUGGGAUUACAGGGAUGAGCCACCAGGCCCUGCCAAUACUAUUAUUUUUGUUGCUUCAUGAUACGUUUUAGAAAUCUUUUAUGUUAGUUAAAUGGAAAACUGUCUUGUUCUUUUUGACUGCUACAUACCAUUCCUCAGUGUGGGUGUACCGUGAUGUAACCAUUCCCUCCUUAGUAGUCCUUGUUUGCAAUUUUUCUAUUUUAUUUCAUUGCAAAUAGAGCUUUGAGAAACACCUUUGCACAUGUGGUUUUGGGGACAUGCAUUAUCAUUUCUUUCAUGUUGAACUCCUUCAAGUGAAAUUUCCAGGUGUAAGUCACAGCUGCCCAAUAGCUUUCUGCAAU